rnacentral:rRNA from 1 species
UACGGAGGGUGCGAGCGUUGUCCGGAAUCAUUGGGCGUAAAGGGCGCGUAGGUGGCGGGACAAGCGUGCGGUGAAAGCCUGGGGCUCAACCCCGGGUCGGCCGUGCGAACUGUUUUGCUUGAGCACUGUAGAGGCAGGCGGAAUUCCGGGUGUAGCGGUGGAAUGCGUAGAGAUCCGGAAGAACACCGGUGGCGAAGGCGGCUCUCUGGACCGAUACUGACGCUGAGGCGCGAAAGCGUGGGGAGCAAACAGG